rnacentral:tRNA from 1 species
GCGGAUAGCGUAGGGUAGCCCAUCUCUAACCUUGCCAAGGUUGGGGUCGAGCGUUCGAAUCGCUUCACCCGCUCCA